GUUAGGAAUCUUCCACAAUGGGGGCAACCCUGAUGGAGCAACACCGCGUGCUGGAUGAAGGCCUUCGGGUCGUAAACAGCUUUUGUAUACGAAGAAUAUGACGGUAAUAUACGAAUAAGGGUCGGCUAACUACGUGCCAGCAGCCGCGGUCAUACGUAGGACCCAAGCGUUAUCCGGAGUGACUGGGCGUAAAGAGUUGCGUAGGCGGCUUAUUAAGCGAGUAGUGAAAUCUGGUGGCUCAAACAUCAACACAUUGCUCGAACUGAUAGGCUUGAGAAUGGUAGAGGUAGUUGGAAUUUCUUGUGUAGGAGUGAAAUCCGUAGAUAUAAGAAGGAACACCAAUGGCGUAGGCAGACUACUGGACCAUUUCUGACGCUGAGGCACGAAAGCGUGGGGAGCGAACCGGAUUAGAAACCCUGGUAGUCC
rnacentral:rRNA from 1 species